rnacentral:rRNA from 1 species
UGCUAGUAAUCGCGGAUCAGCAUGCCGCGGUGAAUACGUUCCCGGGCCUUGUACACACCGCCCGUCACACCAUGAGAGUCGAUAACACCCGAAGCCUGUAGUCUAACCAUAUGGGGGACGCAGUCGAAGGUGGGAUUGAUAAUUAGGGUGAAGUCGUAACAAGGUAUC